CCCGGUGCAUAUACCUCGCUGGAAACACCCGUUCCCUUUCCGAACACGGCAGUUAAGCAGCCUGGGCCGAUGAUAGUGCUAUGCGCGAAAGUAGGUUAGUGCCGGGU
rnacentral:rRNA from 1 species